GGGGAUGUAAAGGUUUCGACGGGGAUCAUGAAGGACAAAUAGCGAGUAGAGGAUCAUGCCCCUCUUUAAAAGUAUGAAACUUAAAAAGUAAACGACAACAAUUCUGUUGCCCUCGCAGCUUAAUUAAAGCUGCCGUCUUACCUGGGAGUACCACGGCCUGGGAUAAGGCGUCGAUUUGUGGUGAACGAUUCUGCCUAGCUGUUUCGUAAGCAGAAUUGUAUUAGAAACUACCAAGCUUUUAAGCCUGCCUGCUGGCGUGGAAGUAAGGGAAUUUUAAAAAGUUGGCUGCACUCGGAGAAGUUUGUUUGAAUUGGUUUUCGGACGCGGGUUCAAUUCCCGCCAUCUCCACUC
rnacentral:tmRNA from 3 species